UAUUAUUGGAUAGAGACAGAGAGAGAUUGAUAGGAGUAGAGGGAGAAAGGCAGAGGGAAAGAGACAGAGAGACACCUGCAGCCUUGUUUCACCACUUGUGAAGCUUUCCUCCUGCAAGUGGGGACCAGGGGCUUAAACCCAGGUCCUUUGUUGUUGUGAUGCGUGCUCAACCAGAGGUGCCACCUCCUAAUCCCUUAUUUUAUUUGAAAGAGAGGUCAGAGCACUGCUCAGCUCUGGUUUAUGGUAGUGCCAGGGAUUAAACCUGGGAUCUUGGAACCCCAGUACUUUAUUUAUUUAUUUAUUUAUUUUUAAUAUUUAUUUAUGAAAGGGAGAGAAAAAUCACACCUAGGAUUGAUCUGCUGGCCUCAUAUUUCCAAGUCCUACACUCUACCUGUUGACUCACUUCCCCAGCCACAAUAAAAUACUUCAAGAGGAAA